rnacentral:rRNA from 1 species
GGAUAGGACCAAAUUCUGUGAAGGCACCAAAUCCCAUCUGAUCUUUGAAGCAGGAUAAAGUUUGGUUAUUACUUGGAUAGGAAUCUGCCAAGGAAUACCAGGCACUAUAUGGC